GAACGUAUGGCUUAGUGGUCAGAGUGCCUGGUCGGCUACCAGGAGACGUGGGUUCGAGUCCCGCUACGUUCA
rnacentral:tRNA from 1 species